AAGAAUUUACGAUAAACAAGCUACAACAAAAAUCUUGAUGCGACAUGCUUUCCGACGGAUAGCUCCCAGAAAUAUUGUCCAAGAAUUUCUAUAAUUUCCGACGGAUGAACUCAAUUCGACAACUAGCCACAAAAAAAAAAUCAUGGUAGAAUUUGUACAAAUACACCUCCAAAAUAACAGGCUCCUUUGCUUUUGGGUUUUGAGAAUGAGCACUAUUACUGCUAGUGCAUUAGUUGCGGAGAAAGUGUGGAAAGAUAUGCAAUCAACUCAUUCAGUGAGCGAUGAGCAACUCUCCAUAUUGCAUUUGUUGUUUGGGAAAAAUUUGGAGCGAGCAACGAGAAUAGUUGAUCAAAGAGGUGUCAAGAGGAUGUUGGGUGAGCCCAGUGGCUGUUCCAUCUUUCAGGUUGUAGGAGAGUCAAAGAGGAAGGAGGAAUAUUUAUGCUUUGCCUCAGAUUAUUGUGGUUGUUAUUCCUUCUUCUAUGACAUUGUAAACAGAGGGGAGCAGCUUUGUUGUAAGCAUCAAUUAGCUGCGAGACUUUCUUCUUCCUUGGGAACAUGUAUUGAUGUUAACAUGUCUGACCAUGACCUUGCUCUCAUCCUCUCCCAACUUUGAAUCUCCUUCCAGAUGGAUGUUGGUGUUGUUUUCCUUUGGGCUAUUUUUCGCAAUAAUACGUACUUGUGAGAUUGCUAUUCGUUUUCAGAGAAAAAUCAGAUUUGAGUCCCUGUCUCCAAUUCAUUGACCACUAGGCCAGUUUCUUCGUUGCAAGUUUACAAAUGAUAACCAUGAUCAAUGACCUACUUAUGCCUCUUGAUUACUUCCUACCAUUUCAGCCCCAUGAGAGUAAAUUUAAUAUUUCUGCUUUGGUCCUCAGAAUGAAGUAACUGUCAAAGACUCUAUGCAUUCUAGUUUGACGGGUGCGUGUCGGAUCCUCCAAAAAUAGUGUUUUUUUGGAGGAUCCGACACGGGUGCGGCAGCAUUUCUGGAGAGCCCGAGCAACUUAAUCCAGGACAGAAAUUGAGGCUAUCACUUAACCUCUUAAUUGCUUCAGAUAACAUAGGGUUGUUCUUUCUCUUGUAUACAUUUCUUAAGAUGAAAUAGACGUGGAGAUCCUUACAACUUUAGAGACGGCAAUUUACCAGAAGGGGAGUUGAAGUAGGAUUAAGCAAAAUCUGUUGACUGCAUGGCAGUUCUGUGCAGAGACAGGUAGUGAAUAUUUGAAGAGAGGUUGAAGCAGCAUCUUGUCCUACCAGAAAUCCAACGAUCAUAUGCUUUUAUAGAUCUCAAUGAUGAAAAUUUGGACUUUGGAACUACUGCUUUGUUGUUUAGAGGACUUAUUCUUUGGGAACUUACAACAAAGUAAUCAUAUUAAACCUAAUUCCCUGCAUUGCACUUGGUGUACUUUAACUAUGUUGCCAAAGGGGGAUCAGUAUCUGAUCUCAUUUGUUUGGUUGAUGUACGUAGUAAAGAAAACAUCUGGUGAUAUCAUUGUUUCAGAAACAUCUAAAGCUGUAAUAGUUCAGAAAAUUAUUCUUGUUUUAGUAUACUUAGAUAUUAUCAGA